CACAUACUCCCUCCGUUCCAAAUUACUUGUCUUAGAUUUGUCUAGAUACGGAGGUAUCUAGCACUAAAAUGAGUCUAGAUACAUCCGUAUCUAGACAAAUCCAAGACAAGUAAUUUGGAACGGAGGGAGUACAUG
rnacentral:pre_miRNA from 1 species